AUGGACCGACAGCUGUUGAGGAGGUGGUCCAAAACAGCCGAAAGGCUUCCCCUUAAGGACUCCUGGAGGGCCCCAUUGGGACAGCUCAUUCACAAUCUGAUGCUCCAGACGAACGAAGGUGGAUGCCUGAUGACUAAAGGCGAGUGGGCAUUGUGAAGUACACAUAUCAGCCUGAGCACAGCGGCCAAGAGUCCGUGCUUGUCAGGAUAAUGCAGCCAGCUGUGGCCACACACUACUCCUGACAUCUCAGUGGCUUUAUACAGCUAAGUCCAUUUCUCACCCAUGCCAUCUGGUUUGGAUGACUCUGCAGGACCUCUCUCCUCCAGACAGUCACUCAGGAAUCCAGGCUGCUUCCAGCUCAAGAUUCUGUAAUGCAUCGUACUAUGCAUAUCUCCAUGGUUACUGCUGAGGGGAAAAAGAGGGAGGGAAGGAUGAAAUGCCCAGUUUUCCAUCUCAAAUCUGUCAUUAAAGAGCUGUAAAGCAUUCUGAAGACACUUAACCUCUUUAAGCGUCCAUUCAUUUCUUCCCCUAUAAAAAUGAGAUUCAUAAUGGUACCCCCUCAUGGGGUACAUGUGAGAAUCUAAUGAGAUUUAUCACUGGACCCCUGUUACUUCAAGUGUGGUCUGCUGACCCAUAGCAUUGGCACCACCUGGAACUCUACAAGAACCAUGGACCCUCAGGCCCCACCCCAGACCUACUGAAUCAGAAUCUGCAUUUUAAUCACCUCCCCAGAGAUUGAUGUGCACAUCAUAGUUUGAGAAUACCACAAGGAAGCCUCCAGCACACAGUACAUGCUCAGUGAGCAUUAGCUGUGUUAUUAUCAUCUAAACUCCAGCUGCCUUUCCAGACCUGAAAAUCACUGAGUCAAUUAGCAACUCACAAUCAGCAGGGGCAGUGGGGGGAGGUUAGCAGGUUUAGGGUCUGGCUUCUCAUCAUGGGAAGCAGUGACACUUCCUACUGAUGUCUUUCCUGAAAGCGCAGAGAAGGGGUUGUUAUUUUAACUGACAAAUCAAAGCAAGUCAGGACUAAAACUGCAAUCAUUUCAUCCUUAUUAUCCCAAGGAAUUUCAGCCCAUAUGGCAUGCUGCCCUCAUCAUUACACGCUGAUCACAGACCCUGUACAUUACCUGGGACCAGCCCAGAAACAUAAAAGGUAG
rnacentral:lncRNA from 13 species